rnacentral:rRNA from 1 species
ACGGAAAGGCCUCUUUCGGGGGGUACUCGAGUGGCGAACGGGUGAGUAACACGUGAGUAACCUGCCCUUGACUUUGGGAUAACUUCAGGAAACUGGGGCUAAUACCGGAUAGGAGCUCCUGCUGCAUGGUGGGGGUUGGAAAGUUUCGGCGGUUGGGGAUGGACUCGCGGCUUAUCAGCUUGUUGGUGGGGUAGUGGCUUACCAAGGCUUUGACGGGUAGCCGGCCUGAGAGGGUGACCGGCCACAUUGGGACUGAGAUACGGCCCAGACUCCUACGGGAGGCAGCAGUGGGGAAUAUUGCACAAUGGGUGGAAGCCUGAUGCAGCAACGCCGUGUGCGGGAUGACAGCCUUCGGGUUGUAAACCGCUUUCGCUCAUGACGAAGCUUUGUGUGACGGUAGUGGGUAAAGAAGCACCGGCUAACUACGUGCCAGCAGCCGCGGUGAUACGUAGGGUGCGAGCGUUGUCCGGAUUUAUUGGGCGUAAAGGGCUCGUAGGUGGUUGAUCGCGUCGGAAGUGUAAUCUUGGGGCUUAACCCUGAGCGUGCUUUUGAUACGGGUUGACUUGAGGAAGGUAGGGGAGAAUGGAAUUCCUGGUGGAGCGGUGGAAUGCGCAGAUAUCAGGAGGAACACCGGUGGCGAAGGCGGUUCUCUGGGCCUUUCCUGACGCUGAGGAGCGAAAGCGUGGGGAGCGAACAGGCUUAGAUACCCUGGUAGUCCACGCUGUAAACGGUGGGUACUAGGUGUGGGGUCCAUUCCACGGG